CAGCAGCCGCGGUAAAACGGAGGGAGCUAGCGUUGUUCGGAAUCACUGGGCGUAAAGCGCACGUAGGCGGCUUUGUAAGUUAGAGGUGAAAGCCUGGAGCUCAACUCCAGAACUGCCUUUAAGACUGCAUCGCUUGAAUCCAGGAGAGGUGAGUGGAAUUCCGAGUGUAGAGGUGAAAUUCGUAGAUAUUCGGAAGAACACCAGUGGCGAAGGCGGCUCACUGGACUGGUAUUGACGCUGAGGUGCGAAAGCGUGGGGAGCAAACAGGAUUAGAUACCCCAGUAGUCCCUGUCUCUUAUAC
rnacentral:rRNA from 1 species